rnacentral:rRNA from 1 species
UUUAUGGAGAGUUUGAUCCUGGCUCAGGAUGAACGCUGGCGGCGUGCCUAAUACAUGCAAGUCGAGCGAACAGACAAGGAGCUUGCUCCUUUGACGUUAGCGGCGGACGGGUGAGUAACACGUGGGUAACCUACCUAUAAGACUGGGAUAACUUCGGGAAACCGGAGCUAAUACCGGAUAAUAUUUCGAACCGCAUGGUUCGAUAGUGAAAGAUGGUUUUGCUAUCACUUAUAGAUGGACCCGCGCCGUAUUAGCUAGUUGGUAAGGUAACGGCUUACCAAGGCGACGAUACGUAGCCGACCUGAGAGGGUGAUCGGCCACACUGGAACUGAGACACGGUCCAGACUCCUACGGGAGGCAGCAGUAGGGAAUCUUCCGCAAUGGGCGAAAGCCUGACGGAGCAACGCCGCGUGAGUGAUGAAGGUCUUCGGAUCGUAAAACUCUGUUAUUAGGGAAGAACAUACGUGUAAGUAACUAUGCACGUCUUGACGGUACCUAAUCAGAAAGCCACGGCUAACUACGUGCCAGCAGCCGCGGUAAUA